GCUUGUUACAAACUAAAGUUGCAAGUGUAUUUCUAUGCUUUUAAGGACGCAGAUGUUUGAAAACACCAUUUAUAUCGCAGCAGCUUUGUGUACUUUUAUUUGACAAUAUUAUAUUGUGAUUAAAUUUACAAUGAAAUCGCUUGUUCAGUUCCUUACCCCCCUCCCCCUCCCCACCCUUCCAUAAGUAAAGAUUAAAUCAUCCUUUUUACAAAACAAUAUAACAAUGUUCUGCAGUGAAGUUUUUCACCAUAUUAACUCAUUUUAAAUACUAUUAUUGAUUAGUAAUUUAUCAUAUUUAAACAUAUGACACCAGAAUUUAUUCUAAACAUCUUUUUAAAAAGAUUUUUUAAACAUAAUAUCCUUUUCCAGACGGGCAGACAGGGAGUACAACUCAAAUGACAGGCUCUGCAGCUGCCACUUCACAGAUGGAAAGAGGGAAUUUGGGCCCACAAUUUUUGCAUAUAGCAAGAAUGUGGGGUAUUUUCCUGAAAUAAACACUCCAAAGAGGAAAAAGUUGGAUAGUGUAGCAUCAUCCUCCUCCCAUCCAAUACAAAAUGACAUGACUCUUGCUGUCAGGACGCACCAUUCUGUUACAGAUCACGAUUAUUGCAGCAGUACCGAACAAACAGACACAAAAGAUCAUUCUAAAGAAGUGUCAGCCUUGGAAAAACAGAUUGCCAAUUUGCAAGAAGAAAUCAGGGAUCUAAAAUUGCAGAAGCCAAAGAUGUCAAUAAAAGACAUCAUAAAUGACACUGAAAAGGUAAGUUGCACAGAAGGAGCAAAUGUAUUUUCUAUUCAAUACAGUUUAAAUAACACUGAAGUGUUUUUACAAACUUCAUAUAGUAAUACAUUCU